CAUACCUACAACUGUUGCUUCGGCGGGUAGGGUCCCCGUGACCCUCCCGGCCUCCCGCCCCCCCGGGCGGGUCGGCGCCCGCCGGAGGAUAACCAAACUCUGAUUUAACGACGUUUCUUCUGAGUGGUACAAGCAAAUAAUCAAAACUUUUAACAACGGAUCUCUUGGUUCUGGCAUCGAUGAAGAACGCAGCGAAAUGCGAUAAGUAAUGUGAAUUGCAGAAUUCAGUGAAUCAUCGAAUCUUUGAACGCACAUUGCGCCCGCCAGCAUUCUGGCGGGCAUGCCUGUUCGAGCGUCAUUUCAACCCUCAAGCUCUGCUUGGUGUUGGGGCCCUACAGCUGAUGUAGGCCCUCAAAGGUAGUGGCGGACCCUCCCGGAGCCUCCUUUGCGUAGUAACUUUACGUCUCGCACUGGGAUCCGGAGGGACUCUUGCCGUAAAACCCCCCAAUUUUCCAAAGGUUGACCUCGGAUCAGGUAGGAAUACCCGCUGAACUUAAGCAUAUCA
rnacentral:rRNA from 1 species